GAGUUUGAUCAUGGCUCAGGAUGAACGCUGGCGGCGUGCUUAACACAUGCAAGUCGAACGGAACGUAACCGAGGAAAUUUUUCGAAGUGGAAUCGGUUACGUUUAGUGGCGGACGGGUGCGUAACACGUGGGCAACCUGCCCUGCUUUUCGGAAUAACGCCGGGAAACCGUCGCUAAUGCCGAAUGAUAUGAGAAGAAGGCAUCUUCUUUUCAUCAAAGAAUUUCGAAGCAGGAUGGGCCCGCGCCGGAUUAGCUGGUUGGUGAGGUAACGGCUCACCAAGGCGACGAUCCGUAGCCGACCUGAGAGGGUGAUCGGCCACACUGGAACUGAGACACGGUCCAGACUCCUACGGGAGGCAGCAGUGGGGAAUAUUGCACAAUGGGCGAAAGCCUGAUGCAGCAACGCCGCGUGAGCGAUGAAGGCUUUCGAGUCGUAAAGCUCUGUCGCAGGGGAAGAAA
rnacentral:rRNA from 1 species